UCGGAGAGUUUGAUCCUGGCUCAGGACGAACGCUGGCGGCGUGCCUAAUACAUGCAAGUCGAGCGGACAGAAGGGAGCUUGCUCCCGGAUGUUAGCGGCGGACGGG
rnacentral:rRNA from 1 species